rnacentral:rRNA from 1 species
GGGUUGUGAGGUUAAGCGACUAAGCGUACACGGUGGAUGCCCUGGCAGUCAGAGGCGAUGAAGGACGUGCUAAUCUGCGAUAAGCGUCGGUAAGGUGAUAUGAACCGUUAUAACCGGCGAUUUCCGAAUGGGGAAACCCAGUGUGUUUCGACACACUAUCAUUAACUGAAUCCAUAGGUUAAUGAGGCGAACCGGGGGAACUGAAACAUCUAAGUACCCCGAGGAAAAGAAAUCAACCGAGAUUCCCCCAGUAGCGGCGAGCGAACGGGGAGCAGCCCAGAGCCUGAAUCAGUGUGUGUGUUAGUGGAAGCGUCUGGAAAGGCGCGCGAUACAGGGUGACAGCCCCGUACACAAAAAUGCACAUGCUGUGAGCUCGAUGAGUAGGGCGGGACACGUGGUAUCCUGUCUGAAUAUGGGGGGACCAUCCUCCAAGGCUAAAUACUCCUGACUGACCGAUAGUGAACCAGUACCGUGAGGGAAAGGCGAAAAGAACCCCGGCGAGGGGAGUGAAAAAGAACCUGAAACCGUGUACGUACAAGCAGUGGGAGCACGCUUAGGCGUGUGACUGCGUACCUUUUGUAUAAUGGGUCAGCGACUUAUAUUCUGUAGCAAGGUUAACCGAAUAGGGGAGCCGAAGGGAAACCGAGUCUUAACUGGGCGUUAAGUUGCAGGGUAUAGACCCGAAACCCGGUGAUCUAGCCAUGGGCAGGUUGAAGGUUGGGUAACACUAACUGGAGGACCGAACCGACUAAUGUUGAAAAAUUAGCGGAUGACUUGUGGCUGGGGGUGAAAGGCCAAUCAAACCGGGAGAUAGCUGGUUCUCCCCGAAAGCUAUUUAGGUAGCGCCUCGUGAAUUCAUCUCCGGGGGUAGAGCACUGUUUCGGCAAGGGGGUCAUCCCGACUUACCAACCCGAUGCAAACUGCGAAUACCGGAGAAUGUUAUCACGGGAGACACACGGCGGGUGCUAACGUCCGUCGUGAAGAGGGAAACAACCCAGACCGCCAGCUAAGGUCCCAAAGUCAUGGUUAAGUGGGAAACGAUGUGGGAAGGCCCAGACAGCCAGGAUGUUGGCUUAGAAGCAGCCAUCAUUUAAAGAAAGCGUAAUAGCUCACUGGUCGAGUCGGCCUGCGCGGAAGAUGUAACGGGGCUAAACCAUGCACCGAAGCUGCGGCAGCGACGCUUAUGCGUUGUUGGGUAGGGGAGCGUUCUGUAAGCCUGUGAAGGUGUGCUGUGAGGCAUGCUGGAGGUAUCAGAAGUGCGAAUGCUGACAUAAGUAACGAUAAAGCGGGUGAAAAGCCCGCUCGCCGGAAGACCAAGGGUUCCUGUCCAACGUUAAUCGGGGCAGGGUGAGUCGACCCCUAAGGCGAGGCCGAAAGGCGUAGUCGAUGGGAAACAGGUUAAUAUUCCUGUACUUGGUGUUACUGCGAAGGGGGGACGGAGAAGGCUAUGUUGGCCGGGCGACGGUUGUCCCGGUUUAAGCGUGUAGGCUGGUUUUCCAGGCAAAUCCGGAAAAUCAAGGCUGAGGCGUGAUGACGAGGCACUACGGUGCUGAAGCAACAAAUGCCCUGCUUCCAGGAAAAGCCUCUAAGCAUCAGGUAACAUCAAAUCGUACCCCAAACCGACACAGGUGGUCAGGUAGAGAAUACCAAGGCGCUUGAGAGAACUCGGGUGAAGGAACUAGGCAAAAUGGUGCCGUAACUUCGGGAGAAGGCACGCUGAUAUGUAGGUGAAGUCCCUCGCGGAUGGAGCUGAAAUCAGUCGAAGAUACCAGCUGGCUGCAACUGUUUAUUAAAAACACAGCACUGUGCAAACACGAAAGUGGACGUAUACGGUGUGACGCCUGCCCGGUGCCGGAAGGUUAAUUGAUGGGGUCAGCGCAAGCGAAGCUCUUGAUCGAAGCCCCGGUAAACGGCGGCCGUAACUAUAACGGUCCUAAGGUAGCGAAAUUCCUUGUCGGGUAAGUUCCGACCUGCACGAAUGGCGUAAUGAUGGCCAGGCUGUCUCCACCCGAGACUCAGUGAAAUUGAACUCGCUGUGAAGAUGCAGUGUACCCGCGGCAAGACGGAAAGACCCCGUGAACCUUUACUAUAGCUUGACACUGAACAUUGAGCCUUGAUGUGUAGGAUAGGUGGGAGGCUUAGAAGUGUGGACGCCAGUCUGCAUGGAGCCGACCUUGAAAUACCACCCUUUAAUGUUUGAUGUUCUAACGUUGACCCGUAAUCCGGGUUGCGGACAGUGUCUGGUGGGUAGUUUGACUGGGGCGGUCUCCUCCUAAAGAGUAACGGAGGAGCACGAAGGUUGGCUAAUCCUGGUCGGACAUCAGGAGGUUAGUGCAAUGGCAUAAGCCAGCUUGACUGCGAGCGUGACGGCGCGAGCAGGUGCGAAAGCAGGUCAUAGUGAUCCGGUGGUUCUGAAUGGAAGGGCCAUCGCUCAACGGAUAAAAGGUACUCCGGGGAUAACAGGCUGAUACCGCCCAAGAGUUCAUAUCGACGGCGGUGUUUGGCACCUCGAUGUCGGCUCAUCACAUCCUGGGGCUGAAGCAGGUCCCAAGGGUAUGGCUGUUCGCCAUUUAAAGUGGUACGCGAGCUGGGUUUAGAACGUCGUGAGACAGUUCGGUCCCUAUCUGCCGUGGGCGCUGGAGAACUGAGGGGGGCUGCUCCUAGUACGAGAGGACCGGAGUGGACGCAUCACUGGUGUUCGGGUUGUCAUGCCAAUGGCACUGCCCGGUAGCUAAAUGCGGAAGAGAUAAGUGCUGAAAGCAUCUAAGCACGAAACUUGCCCCGAGAUGAGUUCUCCCUGACUCCUUGAGAGUCCUGAAGGAACGUUGAAGACGACGACGUUGAUAGGCCGGGUGUGUAAGCGCAGCGAUGCGUUGAGCUAACCGGUACUAAUGAACCGUGAGGCUUAACCUUACAACGCCGAAGCUGUU